CGUAGCGGCAAACGGCAUGGUGAAGCGGUGAAGCGUCAGAAAUAACUCAUGAUUCGUUGUACUAACGUUUCAUAGCGACCAAGUCGUAGCUAAAGACACGGUAAUUCACAUAGAUUAUCACAGAUAAUGUCACACAUGCGGUUAAAAUGUCGCGCAUUGUCUUGGUUCAAGUUACUCAACUGUGGCAAAUGAACCUAUAUGAUAAAGCUGUGCACAAACUCCAGUUUUUUCGAGCCAUGCAAACAAUUUAGCAUAAUCGAAAGGACAACAUAACGAGGGUCGGGAUAUCCCGAGCCUGCCCUCUCCCUCCACUGAGCAGAUGAUGGUUACAUCCGGGAUCCUGGGAUGGAGACAAACGACAUUAAACAGCUUGUACAAGCACGAGCAGAGGACCUGCAACAGUUUUGGUUCCCCCAGUCCAGAUCCCAUCGGAGUGGGAAGACCUGGAAAUCCAGUUGCAAGCCAAGGAAACGGUAAUCUCUGAUCUGGAGAGGAAGCCCAGAGACGUUUUCCAACAGAAACAAAAGACUGUAACCCAGGUGCUGGAGGGCAGUAGGAGGCUCUCGUGUCUGCAGCGGAUCCAGAAAGGCGACAUGAAGGAGAUCGCUGAGAAAGACACUUGCAUCACCAAACUGCAGGCCGACACUGAGCUGCUGCAGCAAGAGGGGGGCCGACGCAGACGCUCAGCUGAAUGGGAGAGAGCGAGGGAGCUUCAGCAGGAGCCGAGGCGAAAAAGAUGAGGAAUGGAGGCAAAGCGAAGACGAAAGGAGGCAGAAAUGUGAAAAGCAGUGUCAGGAGGCAGACGAGGCGGCUGAGAAAAGUGGAGGAGGUGAAGAAGAGGGAGGAACAACAACGGCGGGAGGGGAUUGAGGAGGAGAGAGAGGCCCAUACUCGAAUCUAUAAAAAGGGGACUGAGAAGUCUGAGUUGCCGGUCAGAGUCUCACCAGAAGGAGGAGAUUCUUCUCUCUGAGGUUUGGAAAACACAAGCAAAAGAAGAAAAAGAAAAAGAUGAAAGCGCGAGAUGAGCAUGGGAGCCACCUGGACCAGGAUGUGGUUGGUUUGCGAGCCACACGGGACUCUGUGACGGGAACCUUGGCAAUGACGGAGAAACAAAAGCAACAGCUGGUCAUUGACAAUGCACGGCUCAAUGAAAGCAGAGCAAACUGCAAACCACCGAGUGCUUGUGGAACGACACCCGUGAAACAACACCGGCCCCGGACACGGAAAGAGCAGCAGAGAGUGCAGAUCCAAGACCAGUUGCACCGCUCCAACAAAGAGAAGGAGCACGUGCAGCAGGAGCUGAUACACGUGCGUCACACACCACUGAAAAGAAGAAGAGGGAGAUUAGGACGUGCGCGCUGGUGAGGGAGCUCACCGAGAGUAAGAUGCGGCACUCUGAAUGUCAAAAUGAGCGUUUGGAUCUUAGGCCUUGGGGGGACCUGAGCGGGGAGAGGGACGAGCAGGGGGCCCAGACGGGGGGCCGGAGCAGAGAGUCUGACCACGGCAUCCAGAACGAAGAGACACCGGAGGCUGAGAAGGUCCAUGACAACAGGACCUUACACCUGCAGGAGGAGGUGGGACCAUUGAAACACGAGGUCGGAGGUCACCAGGAUGAGUCGUGUCCGCUCAGCCAAGAGGCCGGAGGGAUGCAGCGCCUCAUGGAGCAGAAAGAGAAGCAGCAACAGCGGCGGCUACGCCAUCAGCUCCGCGUUGGUCGGCAACAGGUCGAGACAUUUGGAGGGAAGCUAAAGAAGCAGGAGGUUGAGAUGGAAAUUCUCCGUGAGCAGCUGAAAGGAGCCGAGGAGGUGAUAAGAGACGCAGGUUUACGAGCCCGGGAGCAGAAGGAAACCAUAGCCAUUUUUAGACAAAAGUACAACGCAGCCAUGGAGAAGGUGCAUCGGGUGCAAGGACAGGUGGAGCUAUUGAAAGAGGAACUACAGUACUCACAGCAACAGCUUCGAGAUUCCCAAUUGGCCGCGCAUUCAGCGAAAGAGGAGCUCGCUGGGAUGGAGCAGCGGUAUCUGGAGAAGGUCGGCCACUGGGAGAACGCCCAGGAGGCUUUAGACCAGUUGGCGGAUGAACUCCUGGCGAGCCGGACCCUCCUGAGGGAGAGUCAACAAAGAGCUGACCACCUUAAAGGCUUAGUGGAAACCAUGCGGGAGCAGGUGGACACGAUCAAACAGCAGAAGCUGAUGUUGGAGUGCGACCGACAGCUGCACCAACAGAGUCGUUGUGAUGAGCAGUGGCACAGAGAGCAGCUACACAAGCGCUGCACCGAGCAGGUUGUGCGCCUUGCCGAGUGUGAAAAGGCGAUUCUUCAGAUGAAGUCGGAGCUGGAGAGACAGGUCCGGCGAGAAGCAGAUCGGAGGCAAAGUUCCGUUGCUUCCCGCCGUGCAAACAUGAGCGAUCGCAUCCAACUGGAACAGGAAGUGAUACAUCUGAAAAAGGAAGUGGCAGCCGUAAGGCGUGAGCCGGCGGACACCCAAAAGGUUCAUAUGGCACUUGGCCGACAGUCAGAGGAGCAGCUGAAGGAGGUCAGGAGAGCGGCGGCGAGGCGGAGCGGCGAUGGGUUCGCGCACAGAGAGGAGGUGCAGAGACUUCAGGAGGACUUACUGAAGGCGGAGGAGAGAAUGAGGAGGCAGUUGAGUCGAGAGCUGGAGGAGCCGCGCAGCGAGCCGCAAGUGACAGGUCACGGGACGGGGGGCCGGAGACAGAAGUGGCGGCGCUCCGGAGGAAUCUUCAGCAUGCUGUCGAUCACAAACUCCAGGCGGAGCGGGAGAAACGGGAAGCCCGGGAACAGGUGGACACACUGCUGGCGGAGCUGGAGGAGACGCGGUCUGAGAAGGCAAACCUGCGCCAUGAGAGCCAGUUGGUCGUGACUAAUGUCAACUGUUGGAUUGCUAAACAAAAAGCUUCCAACGAGAGCCUCAGUGGCCGGACGGAGGCCCAGAACAAGGUGCUGCUCAUCCUCACUGAAGAGAAAGCGCACCUUCAAGGUUCUAAUGACGCGUUGAAAGCGGAGGUAACGCGACUAAAAGAGGUGGGGGACGAGAAGACGAGAGACACGGAGCGCUUCCAGGCCUGGACCCGGGCGUCCCGCAAGACAGGAGAGCCAUGGAAAAGCAGAGCUGUGCGGCUGUGGCUCUAAACCUCAGCAAAAUCCAGGACAUGCAGACUAGACUUCGAAGCAACCUGGAGGCCAUCAGAAUGCUAAAUCAACAAUUGAACUCUCUCAGCGGGGAGAAUAAGCGGUUGCGCAGGCAGCUGGAGGACGAGCGGUCCGUGCGCAGACUGCUGCCUCCUCUUCCUCCUCCUCCACCUUCCAGCAGAGCUCCAUCGUCCACCUCCCCCUGUCCCCCGGUGCUCACCCGGCUCUCCUCUCUGCGCCCGCCUUGUUCUCGUCCCACCGCCCCCCC
ensembl:lncRNA